UAGGGAAUCUUCCGCAAUGGGCGAAAGCUUGACGGAGCAACGCCGCGUGAGUGAUGAAGGUCUUCGGAUCGUAAAACUCUGUUAUUAGGGAAGAACAAAUGUGUAAGUAACUAUGCACGUCUUGACGGUACCUAAUCAGAAAGCCACGGCUAACUACGUGCCAGCAGCCGCGGUAAUACGUAGGUGGCAAGCGUUAUCCGGAAUUAUUGGGCGUAAAGCGCGCGUAGGCGGUUUUUUAAGUCUGAUGUGAAAGCCCACGGCUCAACCGUGGAUGGUCAUUGGAAACUGGAAAACUUGAGUGCAGAAGAGGAAAGUGGAAUUCCAUGUGUAGCGGUGAAAUGCGCAGAGAUAUGGAGGACCACCAGUGGCGAAGGCGACUUUCUGGUCUGUAACUGACGCUGAUGUGCGAAAGCGUGGGGAUCAAACAGG
rnacentral:rRNA from 1 species